rnacentral:rRNA from 1 species
UACGGAGGGUGCAAGCGUUACUCGGAAUUACUGGGCGUAAAGCGCGCGUAGGCGGCUUACUAAGUCUGAUGUGAAAGCCCUGGACUCAAUCCAGGAAGUGCAUUGGAUACUGGUAGGCUAGAGUAUAGGAGAGGUGAGUGGAAUUCCUGGUGUAGAGGUGAAAUUCGUAGAUAUCAGGAGGAACAACAGAGGCGAAGGCGACUCACUGGACUAUAACUGACGCUGAGGUGCGAAAGCGUGGGGAGCAAAC